UGACUGUUAUACACAUCUUCAUCUGUCACAACCCAUUCUCCUUUGCACCUUUCUUCCACUAGAAUAUUUCUUGGAUUCACUUUCCUGUCUGUGACUCUCAUGGGGACAAUGACCCAUCAUCAUGUCUAUGAAUUUCUCUUUCUUCAAUAACAUAAAACGUUUGAAUAAAUAAAAUAAACAAUUAAUUAAUCUCUCUCAAUCUUUUUUUUUUUCUAUUUUUUUUCUUCAUAUGGUCACUUAUUACAACCUGCGAGUCCUUUUUCGUCUUUACAGUUUUCAUGUCUUUAUAAUAACUCUGGUUGUCUUGCUUCUCCUCAGCGCAGGAAUCGAUACAACAAUACCAGAAUUAGGGUUUCUGGUAGCACCUGCUUUUGAGUUCUUAGCUCUAAUAAGGAAGAAGGAAAAAUGUACAUGUGCAGCUGUUCUAUUAAUAUUGCAGCUUAGUCUAGUCACAUUGGGAGGGAAAGAGAGUGAAGGAGUUUCCCUCAGCCCAUUCAUGGAUAUAAUGAAAGAUUGGGUUGCUGAAUUAACUGAUUCAUUCAUACAAUAGUAUUCAAUUAGGGUAAUAUUGUGUGAAUGAAGAGAGUAUAGUAUCUAUAUUGGAACCCCCUCUUUCUCUGUGCUUGGACUGAAGGGAGCUCCUUCUUUUUCUGUUCCCUCCAUUUGUAUCAUCCAUGUCUCAAAGGGCUUUAUGCAUGUUGUUGUCUAAAGCUUAAUCUACAUAAUAUGAUGCUCGGCACAAAAAAGGUGAGGUCAGUACACUGUAGCUGAUGCUACACUUUGUCUUGUAGCUCUUUGUAAGUAUUUACUCUAGCACAACUGCCAUAGAUUCAGCAAGCAUCUGAACAGUUGCAUAUGAGUUUAAUAGCCUUGUCACCCCACUUGGUACUGUUUUUACACGAAAAAAAUCAUGAUCUCCGAUAUAUAUAUAUAUAUAUAUAUAUAUAUAUUAAUUUCUUUCGUGAAGUAGAUAAUGAUACAGUGUGUCACUUUGCUUGUUAAUUUUUAUUAGGUACAAGUUUUUUUUUUUUUUUUUCUCUCAACACUUUUCUGAGUUCUUUCUUUGGGGGUUGGGAAAGCAAAAUUUUAGGUAAAAGUUGGUUAACAGUUCACUUGUAUCUGUACCACUCACUGGAAUCGUUGCAGCUGUCUAUUCUUUUCCAUUUUA